rnacentral:rRNA from 1 species
UGCGUAGGGAGCAAGCGUUGUCCGGAAUCAUUGGGCGUAAAGCGCGCGUAGGCGGCCCGAUAAGUCCGCUGUAAAAGUCAACGGCUCAACUGUUGAAAGCCGGUGGAUACUGUCGGGCUAGAGUACGGAAGAGGCAAGUGGAAUUCCUGGUGUAGCGGUGGAAUGCGCAGAUAUCAGGAGGAACACCCAUAGCGAAGGCAGCUUGCUGGGACGUUACUGACGCUAAGGCGCGAAAGCGUGGGGAGCGAACAGG